GAUGAACGCUGGCGGCGUGCCUAAUACAUGCAAGUCGAGCGAAGAGACGAGGAGCUUGCUCCUCUGACGUUAGCGGCGGACGGGUGAGUAACACGUGGAUAACCUACCUAUAAGACUGGGAUAACUUCGGGAAACCGGAGCUAAUACCGGAUAACAUGUUGAACCGUAUGGAUCAACAGUGAAAGACGGUUUUGCUGUCACUUAUAGAUGGAUCCGCGUCGCAUUAGCUAGUUGGUAAGGUAACGGCUUACCCAGGCAACGAUGCGUAGCCGACCUGAGAGCAGGAUCGCCCACACUGGAACUGAGACACCGUCCAUACUCCUACGGGAGGCAGCAGUAGGGAAUCUUCCGCAAUGGGCGAAAGCCUGACGGAGCAACGCCGCGUGAGUGAAAAAAGUCUUCGGAUCGUAAAACUCUGUUAUUGGGGAUGAACAAAUCUCUAAGUAACUAUACACGUCUUGACGGUACCUAAUCAGAAAGCCCCGGCUAACUACGUG
rnacentral:rRNA from 1 species